UACGAAGGGGGCGAGCGUUGUUCGGAAUUACUGGGCGUAAAGGGCGCGUAGGCGGCCGAUCAAGUCAGAUGUGAAAGUCCUGGGCUUAACCUGGGGACUGCAUUUGAUACUGAUUGGCUUGAAUGCAGGAGAGGAUAGCGGAAUUCCCAGUGUAGAGGUGAAAUUCGUAGAUAUCGAGAGGAACACCGGUGGCGAAGGCGGCUACCUGGACGGUGACUGACGCUGAGACACGAAAGCGUGGGGAGCAAACAGG
rnacentral:rRNA from 1 species